rnacentral:lncRNA from 1 species
CGAUCACAUGUUAUAUGUCAUACCCUUACCCAAGUUAAAGAGCUUGAUGAUGUCACCAGUCACCCUUGAAAAAUUCAGUCGCCUGUGGUUAACACUAAAGCAAAAUUAUCCACCACUGACCAACCUCAAAUUGAUGGUCAAAACAAAAGUGCUAAUCAAAAUCCUGACAAUUUAUUACAGUCUCUAGUCCGGAAAAAUCUUGGGAAUUGGAACUUCAUCUCUCCAACUGUUCAAAUUGCAUAUAACGAUCCUGUGAACUGGUCUUUAGGUCUAAACCCCUUUGAAAUUAUUUUUGGUUGUGAACCUUUGAAACCUCUAGACCUUAUUCCCAUGCACCCACAUGCUUGUGUGUCUAUGUCAGUUGAGGUAGUCGUAUCACAUUUUCAUAGCUUGCAUAUUGAGAUCAGUGGAUAAUUUGAAGCAAGUAAAGAUUACAUAAACCUCAAGUUGAUUGGCAUAAACAACACUUUGAAUUUAAUAUUGGGGAUUAUGUUAUAUUGCAAGCGUGUAAUGCUGGUCGUUUUAAAAUUUCAAAGCAUGUUGGUCAAAAUACCUAUGUCAAUGACCUUUUAUCACAUUAUGACCACCACCCUAUGUUAUUUGUUACGGACUUCGAUGCUUACAACGGCUAUUUUAACCCCUCUGAUGACCCGUUUCUACUCUCACAUGAGAAUUCCCACACUGAAUCUUUUGCCAUGUCUGCUUCAAUCCCAUCUAUCACAGCACACAAAAAUAAAAUUGAUGUUAUUUUGGAUGAACAGCUUGUGUUGACCAAUGAUUGAGAGAUUUAGUGCUUUCUUGUUCGUUGGAUGGAUCGUCUUGAUUCUGACGGUACAUGGAUUCCCAAAGAGAGACUUCAGCGGCGGGAGCCAAAUUCAUUGGAGCUUUAUAAGAGUCGGCAAAAUUCUCAUUCGCCUAAGUUAUCUUGGUCAGCU